rnacentral:rRNA from 1 species
AUGAACGCUAGCGGCAGGCCUAAUACAUGCAAGUCGAACGGUAAGGCUCUUUCGGGAGUACACGAGUGGCGGACGGGUGCGUAACGCGUAUGUAACAUGCCUUCCAGCGGGGGAUAUUCUAGGGAAACUUAGCGCAAUACCCCAUGGUAUUACGAGAUCGCAUGGUCUUGUGAUUAAAACCUUGGUGCUGGAAGAUUGGCAUGCGUGACAUUAGCUAGUUGGCGAGGUAAUGGCUCACCAAGGCAACGAUGUCUAGCAGGUCUGAGAGGAUGAUCAGCCACACUGGGACUGAGACACGGCCCAGACUCCUACGGGAGGCAGCAGUAGGGAAUAUUGGACAAUGGGCGGAAGCCUGAUCCAGCCAUGCCGCGUGAGGGAAGAAGGUCCUCUGGAUUGUAAACCUCUUUUAUCAGGGAAUAAACCUGAGCUAUACGCUCAGCUGAAGGUACCUGAGGAAUAAGCACCGGCUAACUCCGUG